rnacentral:snRNA from 1 species
CUCUUCUUUUGACUAUGA